GACGAACGCUGGCGGCGUGCUUAACACAUGCAAGUCGAACGGAAAGGCCCUGCUUUUGUGGGGUGCUCGAGUGGCGAACGGGUGAGUAACACGUGAGUAACCUGCCCUUGACUUUGGGAUAACUUCAGGAAACUGGGGCUAAUACCGGAUAGGAGCUCCUGCUGCAUGGUGGGGGUUGGAAAGUUUCGGCGGUUGGGGAUGGACUCGCGGCUUAUCAGCUUGUUGGUGGGGUAGUGGCUUACCAAGGCUUUGACGGGUAGCCCGCCUGAGAGGGUGACCGGCCACAUUGGGACUGAGAUACGGACCAGACUCCUACGGGAGGCAGCAGUGGGGAAUAUUGCACAAUGGGCGGAAGCCUGAUGCAGCAACGCCGCGUGCGGGAUGACGGCCUUCGGGUUGUAAACCGCUUUCGCCUGUGACGAAGCGUGAGUGACGGUAAUGGGUAAAGAAGCACCGGCUAACUACGUG
rnacentral:rRNA from 1 species